rnacentral:rRNA from 1 species
CGCUGGCGGCGUGCUUAACACAUGCAAGUCGAACGAGGCGGAAGGGGGCAACUCCUWCCAGUCGAGUGGCGGACGGGUGAGUAACACGUGGGUAACCUGCCCGGAAGUGUGGAAUACCUCGGGGAAACUCGAGCUAAUACCGCAUGACAUCUUUGGGACGACAGUCCUGACGAUCAAAGCGGGGUCGCAAGAUCUCGCGCUACCGGAUGGGCCCACGCCCGAUUAGCUAGUUGGUGGGGUAACGGCUCACCAAGGCUUCGUUCGGUAACCGGCCUGAGAGGGCGAUCGGUCACACCGGAACUGAGACACGGUCCGGACUCCUACGGGAGGCAGCAGUGGGGAAUCUUGCGCAAUGGGCGAAAGCCUGACGCAGCAACGCCGCGUGGAGGAUGAAGGCCCUUGGGUUGUAAACUCCUGUCGGCUGGGAAGAAAUCGUUCGUGGCUCAUACCCACGGACGUUGACUGUACCAGCAAAGGAAGCCCCGGCUAACUCUGUGCCAGCAGCCGCGGUAAUACAGAGGGGGCUAGCGUUAUUCGGAAUUAUUGGGCGUAAAGGGCGCGUAGGCGGCCAUGCGUGUCUUCCGUGAAAUCCCUCGGCUUAACUGAGGACGUGCGGA